CUUGUACUCCCUCCGUCCGAAAAUACUUGUCAUUGAAAUGGAUGUAUCUAGAUGUAUUUUAGUUCUAGACACAUCCAUUUUGAUGACAAGUAAUUCCGAACGAAGGGACUACUUG
rfam:Triticum urartu cultivar G1812 contig276638, whole genome shotgun sequence.